UAAAGAUAUUUAAUAGAAAAAAAGUUAUUACAUUUUUCAAGUAAACCUGUUACACUCUGUAUAUAAAUUAUACACGUUAAUCCGGUCCCACACGACUCGUAAAUUGGCCGAUCAUUAUCCGAACAUUGUGUAUACUUUAUUUGUACUUUACACUUGAUUUUCUCCAAUACUUAAAACAUGUCAAAACAGUUAGUGGUGAGAAUGGACGGGUCAUGUGGGAAAGCAAGAUUAAAUUUCUUAUCGGCAUGAGUCCCUCAUGUCGGACCGACAACGACGGGAAACCGCGAGUGACUCAGCGAGCACAAAAAUAAUCGCCGAACUUAACGAUUAAACACCUCCUACAGGACUCGCAAAGAAUUGUCGCGAUUUUCGAUUAUUAUUAGCCGAGUACACGAGUCGUUAUAGUGGUACUCGUUUUGCCGAAUUAGAAAUUUCAUUCGGGGCACCCGCCUAUCACGUGCCGUAUAAUAAAUAAAUAUCAUAGUAAAAAUAACACGCUCUUUGCUUUGCUCGGAAUCUAAAAUUAGUUUUCCAUUUAGUUACCUUGUAACUAUCACUUUCGGUUUUCACAACUACGACCACAUGACGUCUACAUUGCAUUUUGGUAUACGGGGAUUUCCAUGUGAAUACAUUUAUAAAUAAACAGCAAUAAUAUAUAAUAUUUAUAAACAUAUAUAUAUUUAUAUUUAUAUUUAUAUAUAAAUGUAUAUUUCGCAAGAGACAUUACAUUACAUUCAAAAUUCAAAAUUUAAAGAUUAAUUACCGUCGAAUUUCGACUACUGAGUGACCAUUAGUAAUAUCAUUAAUUGCAUAUCGUCCAAUAAUGAUAAAUUGAUAACCUUUCACUA